GGUAACAGGAAGAAGCUUGCUUCUUUGCUGACGAGUGGCGGACGGGUGAGUAAUGUCUGGGAAACUGCCUGAUGGAGGGGGAUAACUACUGGAAACGGUAGCUAAUACCGCAUAACGUCGCAAGACCAAAGAGGGGGACCUUCGGGCCUCUUGCCAUCGGAUGUGCCCAGAUGGGAUUAGCUAGUAGGUGGGGUAACGGCUCACCUAGGCGACGAUCCCUAGCUGGUCUGAGAGGAUGACCAGCCACACUGGAACUGAGACACGGUCCAGACUCCUACGGGAGGCAGCAGUGGGGAAUAUUGCACAAUGGGCGCAAGCCUGAUGCAGCCAUGCCGCGUGUAUGAAGAAGGCCUUCGGGUUGUAAAGUACUUUCAGCGGGGAGGAAGGGAGUAAAGUUAAUACCUUU
rnacentral:rRNA from 1 species